rnacentral:rRNA from 1 species
GACGAACCGUGCGAACGUUAUUCGGAAUCACUGGGCUUAAAGCGCGUGUAGGCGGGUCCGAACGUCUGUCGCUGAAAUCCCCCGGCUCAACCGGGGAACGGGCGGAGAUACGGCGGACCUGGAGGGGCGUAGGGGGACCUGGAACUUCCGGUGGAGCGGUGAAAUGCGUUGAGAUCGGAAGGAACGCCCGUGGCGAAAGCGAGGUCCUGGACGCCUACUGACGCUGAGACGCGAAAGCCAGGGGAGCGAACGGG